rnacentral:ncRNA from 1 species
AUAAAAUAAUUAUGUUUUUGAAAAUUUAUUUUAAAUUUGUUUUACAUAUAAAUUUUAGUGAAUAAUUUUAAUUAUUUUAAUAAUAGUUAAUUUGGCUUUGUAGUAAUUAAUAUUAAAAAUUUAAGAAAUUAAGAUUUAGUAAUAUAAAAAUUAAUAACUAAUUUUGUGCCAGCAGUUGCGGUUAAACAAAAGUUAAAUUAAAUUAUUUCAGUAUAUAAUAAAUAAUUAAAUUAUUAAAUUAAAUAUUAAAUUAUUAAGUGAAAUUUUAAUUUAAUUAAAUUUUAUUUUUAAAUUAUGAAUUUAAUAAAUUUUAAUAUAAACUAGGAUUAGAUACCCUAUUAUUAAAAAUUUAAUUUAUAAUACUAAAAUAGUAAAUAAUAAUUUAUUGAAACUUAAAUAAUAUGGCGGUAUUUUAGUUCAUUUAGAGGAAUCUGUCUAAUAAUUGAUAAUCCACGAAUAAAUUUACUUAAUUUAUAAUUUUGUAUAUCAUUGUUAAAAAAAUAUUUUUUAGGAAAAAUAAUAUUUAAAAUUUAAAAUUAAAAGUUAAAUCAGAUCAAGAUGCAGAAUAUAAUUAAGAAUAUGAUGGAUUACAUUAAAUAUAUUUAAAUGAAUAAUUUUAUUGUAAUAAAAAUUUGAAGGUGGAUUUAAAUGUAAUUUUAAUUAAUUUAUUAAAAUGAUUAAAAAUUAAAAUAUGUACAUAUUGCCCGUCACUUUCAUUUAAAAAUUGAAAUAAGUCGUAACAAAGUAGAGGUACUGGAAAGUGUUUCUAGAAAGA